rnacentral:rRNA from 1 species
CGGGCACGUGUUAGGGACCCCGAGUGCCAGCACAGGCUGGCUGUCCACCAGUGUAAAUAACUGGUGAAGAAAGGGCCGGGCAAGACCGGUGCCAGCAGCCGCGGUAAUAAUA